CCAUGCGGGGCGAAGCGGCGGCGCAAGCCCGCCGUGGACCGCAUGGGAGUGAGAAUGCAGACAUGAGUAGCGAAAGACGGGUGAAGAUCCCGUCCGCUGGACGACCAAGGGUUCCAGGGCCACGUUCAUCGUCCCUGGGUGAGUCGGGUCCUAAGGCGAGGCCGACAGGCGUAGUCGAAUGGAUGAACGGGUCGAUAUUCCCGUACCGGCAUGCAACCGACAAAACCGAAUCCGCGAGUACUAACCUCCGGGUCCGGGCUUACGUCUCCUUCGGGAGCCGGAUGCCCUGGCCUGUUGGGACCGUAACGGUAGUAGGUCAGCGCGGGAGUGACGCAGAAGGGUAGCCGGCCGCGGAGGUGGUCUUCCGUGGUCAAGCACGCAGCCCGUCCCACAGGCAAAUCCGUGGGGCGCGUGGGCGAGGUGCGAUGAUGGGCGCCGCAGGGCGCGAUAUCCGGUGAUCCCGGCUGCCGAGAAAAGCUUCGGCGUGAGGCGGCGUGCCGCCCGUACCCCAAACCGACACUGGUGGUCAGGUAGAGAAUACCAAAGCGAUCGAGCGAAUCCUGGUCAAGGAACUCGGCAAAUCACUCCCGUUCCUUCGGUUUAAGGGAGACCCCCGAUGGUGAAGCGGCUUGCCCGUGGAGCUUUUGGGGGUGGCACAGACCAGGGGGUAGCGACUGUUUACCAAAAACACAGGAGCGUGCGAAGGCGCAAGCCGCUGUAUACGCUCUGACGCCUGCCCGGUGCCGGAAGGUUAAGAGGAUCCGUCAGGCCUCGGCCGAAGCGGUGAAUUCAAGCCCCGGUAAACGGCGGUGGUAACUAUAACCAUCCUAAGGUAGCGAAAUUCCUUGUCGGGUAAGUUCCGACCUGCACGAAUGGCGUAACGACUUCCCCACUGUCUCGACCAGGAGCUCGGCGAAAUUGCAGUACGAGUAAAGAUGCUCGUUAAGCGCAGAAGGACGAAAAGACCCCGGGACCUUUACUAUACCUUGGUAUUGGCAUUCGGUGUGGAUUGUGUAGCAUAGGCGGAAGGCUUCGAAGCCACGGCGCCAGCCGCGGUGGAGCCGCAAGGUGAAAUACCGCUCUGUUCGCAUUGGAUGUCUAACCUCGACCAGUCAUCCUGGUCAGGGACAGUGCCUGGCGGGUAGUUUAACUGGGGCGGUUGCCUCCCAAAGAGUAACGGAGGCGCUCAAAGGUUCCCUCAGCCCGGUUGGCAAUCGGGUGGCGAGUGUAAGUGCACAAGGGAGCUUGACUGCGAGACUGACGGGUCGAGCAGGGACGAAAGUCGGAACUAGUGAUCCGGUGCCGGUGUACGGACGCGGCAUC
rnacentral:rRNA from 1 species